GGGGAUUUAGCUCAGUGGUAGAGCGCUUGCCUAGCAAGUGCAAGGCCCUGAGUUCAGCCCUGAGUUCAGUCCCCA
rfam:Rattus norvegicus chromosome 17, whole genome shotgun sequence.